CCCUUAGAUGUUCUGGGCCGCACGCGUGCUACACUGAGUGGAUCAGCGGGUCAGGUUGCGCGAAAGCGUUUCCUAAUCUUUAAAUCCGCUCGUGAUGGGGAUUGACGGUUGCAAUUUUCUGUCAUGAACGAGGAAUACCUUGUAAGCGCGGGUCAUCAUCCCGCGCUGAAUACGUCCCUGCCCUUUGUACACACCGCCCGUCGCUCCUACCGAUUGAAGUUUUCGGUGAAUUUACUGGAGAUCCCUUUUGAAGGUGGUUCGCCACUGGAAGAAGUAUUCAAAAGUAAAUGAAUCGAAUGCUUUAGAGGAAGGAGAAGUCGUAACA
rnacentral:rRNA from 1 species